rnacentral:sRNA from 1 species
GCUGCGGCUGUUGCAGCUGUUGCUGCUGCUGCUGAUGUUGCUGCUGCUGCUGCUGCUGCUGCUGCUGCUGGAGCUGCUGC